ACCCACAACUUCAAGUAGGAUUUGCACUAGCGUGAAAGCGGGGUGCAGCCCCCCCCCACCCCUUUCUCAACUCAACCCGGGUUUAAAGUAAUGUGUGAACCAUCAAAUGGAGAUUGACGGGGGAGAGAGAGAGAAAACUGCAAAUCGGGGGACCCUCCAAACUCUCUUCUGCUUCUUCCUUAGGGGCGCCCCAAAAACGGCACGAAGGCCUUUUCGUACACCAAUCCUGCCAUGGCCAACGAUGAACUGUAGGGGGCGCUGUUCCUACAGCUGGACUUUGGAGGGGUGUGUUGUGUGAAUUGGACCAAAAAAAAUAUUGAACUUCGGCAGGUAACGUUCAUUUUUUUGGGGGGAGCCCCAGUGAAAAAGUGGGGUGAUUUUUUUUGGUGGGGGUGUGUGGCUCGCUCCUCCCCCCUGCCCCCCGCUGACCAGGAGCAGAAUUACGGAUGGGAUGUGGGUGAAGAAGGAAUUUGUGGCCCUUGCUACACCAGGAGCCCUGCCGAGAAACACUGAGGGCUAGAAACUUGGGAGUGAGACUUAUUGACCAAGCCGGCGACUUCACUUCAAAAAAAUCUCUGGAACUCCCCGCCACAAGCAUCUCGACGAGGAAGUUAAGCCGAUGAAACUCUCCUCUUUACGAAAGACUAUUAUUAUUUUUUUGCUUGAUUAAUUUAUGGCCAAUGAUUAAUUUAUGAAUUGAGACGAGGAAGGGAAGUUUCGUAGCUGGAGAAAGAGGCCAAUACGACUCCGGAGAAAAGGCAUCAAUUUUUGGAUGUAAAAGAAA